UACAGGGGGUGCAAACGUUGCUCGGAAUCAUUGGGCGUAAAGCGCACGUAGGCGGUUCGUUAUGUCGGAUGUGAAAGCCCUUGGCUUAACCGAGGAAGUGCAUCCGAAACUGGCGAGCUAGAGUACGAAAGAGGAUCGCGGAAUUCCCGGUGUAGAGGUGAAAUUCGUAGAUAUCGGGAGGAACACCGGUGGCGAAGGCGGCGAUCUGGGUCGAUACUGACGCUGAGGUGCGAAAGCGUGGGGAGCAAACAGGG
rnacentral:rRNA from 1 species